GACGUAGGGCGCGAGCGUUGUCCGGAUUUAUUGGGCGUAAAGAGUUCGUAGGCGGUUUGUCGCGUCGUUCGUGAAAACUUGGGGCUUAACUCCAAGCGUGCGGGCGAUACGGGCAGACUUGAGUACUACAGGGGGAGACUGGAAUUCCUGGUGUAGCGGUGAAAUGCGCAGAUAUCAGGAGGAACACCGGUGGCGAAGGCGGGUCUCUGGGUAGUAACUGACGCUGAGGAACGAAAGCGUGGGUAGC
rnacentral:rRNA from 1 species